UACGGAGGGUGCAAGCGUUAUCCGGAUUCACUGGGUUUAAAGGGUGUGUAGGCGGGCAAUUAAGUCAGUGGUGAAAUCUCCAGGCUCAACCUGGAAACUGCCAAUGAUACUAUUUGUCUUGAAUACUGUUGAGGUGGGCGGAAUAUGUCAUGUAGCGGUGAAAUGCAUAGAUAUCGUAAGGAGGACCAGUGGCGAAGGCGGGUCUCUGGACAGUUCCUGACGCUGAGGCACGAAGGUCAGGGGAGCAAACGGG
rnacentral:rRNA from 1 species